rnacentral:rRNA from 1 species
CUACGGGAGGCAGCAGUGGGGAAUCUUGCGCAAUGGGCGAAAGCCUGACGCAGCAACGCCGCGUGCGGGAUGAAGGCCUUCGGGCUGUAAACCGCUUUCAGCAGGAACGAAAAUGACGGUACCUGCAGAAGAAGGAGCGGCCAACUACGUGCCAGCAGCCGCGGUGACACGUAGGCUCCAAGCGUGUCCGGAGUUAUUGGGCGUAAAGAGCUCGUAGGCGGGUGAGUAAGUCGGGUGUGAAAACUCUGGGCUUAACCCGGAGACGCCAUCCGAUACUGCUCUGACUAGAGUUCAGGAGGGGAGUGGGGAAUUCCUAGUGUAGCGGUGAAAUGCGUAGAUAUGUGGAGGAACACCAAUGGCGAAGGCAGCUCUCUGGCCUGAUACUGACGCUGAGGUGCGAAAGCGUGGGGAGCAAACAGGAUUAGAUACCCGAGUAGUC